CUUUCUGGCAGCUUUCUGGGCUGCCCCUUCCUUGGAACGGCGCAGGAGGAAUGUUGUGCCAGAAUAUCUGAGGGUGUUUGCAAACAUGGCUCUGGGAAGACGAGAUACAGGUGGAGGGGAUGUUUCUUUGCUGAUUCUUAAAGGAUCUAAGUCCAUAGAUGUCAUGGUUUGGAGGCAAGACUGUGGAUGGAUGGGGGGAGCUAGCAUAUCCCUCCCCUCAUACUUCAUAGCAAUAGUUGGGAAAUCUUGGUGCUAUGUGGUGAUGGUUGUGGUAGUGUUUGUGGUGCAGGCAGGGGGUUUUGUUCACUGACAUGCGUAGACUGUGGGGUUAGCUCCAGCUGUGUGUUCGAAGGAGAGGAAAGUUUAGACUACCAUCAUCUUUUGACUGGACUAGCCUCCUAACUAGCUUUCUUGCCUCAGUGGCACUGAAACCUGCUCUGCUGGCUCCCAAGAGUUAACUGUGCACGUGUCUUCCUAACUCGGCAUUCAGUGACAUCAAACUGCUGCAGUCGUGGAGGCCGCGUGUGGAGACAGCAGAACCACAAGACCGAGUCACCUGGUUGCUGAGUCAGCACAUGAGGACAGCUGUCUUCAGAGAGUAGCCUGAUCGUCUGUGCAUGAGAGGGAAAUAAACAUUUGUUCUGUUUAGCCACUGAGCUUCAAGACAGUUUUGUUACUGCAAAAUAACCUAGCCCAGCGGUUCCCAAACAUUUGGGUCUCAGCAUUCCUUUAAACUCUUAAAAGUUAUUGAUGAUCCCAAAGAGCUUUUGUUUAUGUGGAUUAUAUCUACCAAUAUUUCCAUGUCAGAGAUUAAAAGUGAGAAAUUUUUAAAAUGUGUGUAUAUUAAUUCAUUUUAAAAUAACAAUUAUUAAACCAUUACAUGUUAACAUAAAUAACGUAUUUUUAUGAAAAACAGCUAGUUUCCAAAACAAACUAGUGAGAAUGACAGUUUUACAUUUUUGCAAAUCUCUGGAUUAAUUGAAGACAGCUGGAUUCUCAUCUCUGCUCCUGCAGUUAAUCAGUUUCAAUCUGUUUUGUUGCUGUUUUUGAGGUAUUUGAAGAAAAUCUGGCCUCACACAGAUAAUGUAGUUAAUAAUCUAGGGGUGUAUUUUAAUAGCUUUUGUUGAUGAUGGUGCAUAAUCUUUUUGUAUACUACAUCAAAACUUGACAAGUGGUAGUUUCUUAUAAGUUAAUUACGAUAUGGAAUCUGAAACCAUAUCAAUGGACUUUUC
rnacentral:lncRNA from 1 species